rfam:Glycine max cultivar Williams 82 chromosome 13, whole genome shotgun sequence.
GACUCUCGGCAACGGAUAUCUCGGCUCUUGCAUCGAUGAAGAACGUAGCGAAAUGCGAUACUUGGUGUGAAUUGCAGAAUCCCGUGAACCAUCGAGUCUUUGAACGCAAGUUGCGCCCGAAGCCAUUAGGCCGAGGGCACGCCUGCCUGGGUGUCA